GCUUAGAAGCAGCCAUUCAUUUAAAGAGUGCGUAACAGCUCACUAGUCAAGAGAUUUUGCGUGGAAAAUGUAACGGGGCUAAAGUGUUAAACCGAAGACAUGGACUUCUGCCUAUGCAGGAGUGGUAGAGGAGCGUUGAUAUCGCAGUGAAGUCAGAUUGGAAAGUCUGGUGGAGCGUUAUCAAGUGAGAAUGCUGGAAUUAGUAACCUUAAGACAGGUGAGAAUCCUGUCGGUCGUAAGAGCAAGGUUUCCAGGGCUACAGUAAUUGCCCCUGGGUUAGUCGGUCCUAAGCCGAGGCGUAUCAGCGUAGGCGAUGGACAACAGGUUAAUAUUCCUGUACAGGUAGUAGUUGUGAACAGUUCACGGUGAAUGACUGGAGCGGAUUAAUGGUUUAUCCGUCCAAGUCUUUAGGGAACUAAAGAUGAGUGAAAGGUAAUCUUCGGAUUAUUGAUUCUGGGUGAAGCACUGGCUAGAAAAGCUGGUUCACUUAUGCUGCUGCCUACCGUACCGCAAACCAACACCGGUGCUCGGGUCGAGUAGACCAAGACCUACGUGAGAACCUUCGCUAAGGAACUCGGCAAAAAAGCGUCCGUAACUUCGGAAUAAGGACUGCCCUCUCAUUAAGAUGAGGAUUUGCUAGAAACUCAGCAGAAGAUUCAGAUUACCUUUUAACUGAAUUUUUCGUUGAGACAGAACACAAAACAGGAUUUGUUUAACAAAUUCGUGUCUUUUCUAGUAGUCUAAUCGUCAUUUUGAUGAGAGGGCCGCAGCUAAAGAGCCCACGGAACUGUUUACCAAAAACAUAGGUCUCUGCUAACGCGAAAGCGGAUGUAUAGGGGCUGACUCCUGCCCGGUGUCGGAAGGUUAAGGGGAGAGCUUUACGGUUCGAACUGAAGCCCCGAUGAACGGCGGCGAUAACUAUGAUCGUCCUAAGGUAGCGAAAUUCCUUGUCUGGUAAGUUCAGACCCGCACGAAUGGAGUAAUCAUGUGGGCACUGUCUCGGCGAAGGCCACGGUGAACGUGCAUUGGCGGUAAAGAUGCCGUCUGAUCAUGCCAGGACGAGAAGACCCCAUGGAGCUUUACUACAACUUUGCAUUGAUUAUUGGGACAUUUUGUGUAGAAUAGGUGGAAGACUUUGAAGCAGAUACGCUAGUAUUUGUGGAGUCGAAAUAUGAAAUACCACCCUGAAUGUUUUAGUAAUCUCACUUUUGACCUGAUCGGCCAAAAGGACCGUGCAUGGCGGGUAGUUUAACUGGGGCGGUUGCCUCCUAAAGAGUAGCGGAGGCGUUCAAAGGUUGGCUAACUACGGAUGGAAAUCGUAGUGAUAGUGUAUGCGCAAAAGCCAGCUUGACUGUGAGGGCCACAACCCAAUCAGACACGAAAGUGGGAGCAAAUGACCCGCUGUACAGAACUUCGGUUCAAUUUACGUGGGAAAGACAGCGCACACGGAUAAAAGUUACCCUGGGGAUAACAGGCUGAUCGCGCCCAAUAGUUCACAUAGACGGCGCGGUUUGGCACCUCGAUGUCGGCUCAUCACAUCCUGGAGGGGGAGCACCUUCCAAGGGUUCGGCUGUUCGCCGAUUAAAGUGGUACGCGAGCUGGGUUCAGAACGUCGUGAGACAGUUCGGUUUAUAUCCGGCAUGAUCGUUAGGAAUUUUGAGGAGAUCUGCCCCUAGUACGAGAGGACCGGGGUGGACGAAUCUCUAGUGUAUCGGUUGUGGCCACCUGCUGCAUCGCCGAGUAGCUAUGUUCGGAAGAGAUAAGCGCUGAAAGCAUAUUAAGCGCGAAGCCCACUCCAAGAUUAGAAUUCCCUAUGAGAUCCCAGAGAGAAGAUCUGGUUGAUAGGCGCAAGAUGGAAGUAUCGCAAGGUAUGGAGUCGAAGCGUACUAAUAGAUCCAUCGCCUUUUUA
rnacentral:rRNA from 1 species